UACGUAGGGUGCGAGCGUUGUCCGGAAUUACUGGGCGUAAAGAGCUCGUAGGUGGUUUGUCGCGUUGUUCGUGAAAACUCACAGCUUAACUGUGGGCGUGCGGGCGAUACGGGCAGACUGGAGUACUGCAGGGGAGACUGGAAUUCCUGGUGUAGCGGUGGAAUGCGCAGAUAUCAGGAGGAACACCGGUGGCGAAGGCGGGUCUCUGGGCAGUGGCUGACGCUGAGGCGCGACAGCGUGGGGAGCAAACAGG
rnacentral:rRNA from 1 species